AGCGACAAAUGAGUACAAAAGCUAAAUUUAGCCAUAAAGCUCAUAUUCCCAGAAUAAAUAAUUUAAUAUAGAAACUACUGAAUGAUUUCUUAGGAGGAAACAAAAAGAAAAACUUAAAAUUUUUUUUUUAAUUUUGAAGGCAGACUUGCGAUUUUAUGACAAUGUUGUGUGUCUUUCUGAUGAGGUGAGAUGCCCACAGGUGGAACAAAACAAGUGAUGAACUUGUUCAAGCUUUGAGUGAGGGGAAGGUCCAGCUUUCGCCGGGGUUGAGAGGCUUCCGACACACACUUCAACGAAGAGCCUUCAUCUCAUCUACAGAAUGGAAACCUAUGAUUGCUCGACUUGGGUGUGAGGAGUGCAGUCUUGGGUCAUUGCUUAGCAUACGGUGUUGGAAAGAGUUCAACCAACAAGGUUUGAUGUGUUCAGAGUAAUUACAAAGAAACGAUAGAACUAAUGAAAGACAGCAACAAAGAAGAUGAACUAACAACCAAUGUGCAAAAGGCAACAAAUGAUGCUGCCUGGCCUGCUGGAUUGGGCAUGGAACUAGCAAUCCUAUCCUUUGAAAACCUAGAACUACAGAAACGCCAACAGAAGCUCCAAAGACCCCAUCCUUAAGAAGACUUAAGAAUGCAUGCGGUGAAAGUGGAGGCCACAAGGCCAAUCAACCUUCCUUCAGCCCAGGACUGAGGACUGUGGCAAGCUGCUGUUGGUUGUCCUAUGUCCCAGUAAGGGUGAUGGGGUCAGGAAGAAGAGGUAAAAUAUACUUUGAACCAUUGAAAUAUUAUUAGCUGUUUUCGUAUUAUCUUGGGAAGUAGGGAAGUUUUCACUGCUGAUAUUUGAUACAAUUCAAAAGGACUAAGACGUGAAAGGCUAUGAACAGCACUGGCAAAUGGGAUCAGUAUAUUUCUUUAUUUAAUUGUUUGUUUUAUUUCUUACAUCCAAGGGGGGUAAAAAUCUUUAUAUUGCGUCUCUGUCGCAAUAUUCAAGCAAGAAAGAGGAGAAAUGAGGGAAGGUAUUGCCCAAACCCUGAAAUUGUAUAUAUAAUUGUUUUGCAUAAUGUAUGUACAGUCAGAUAUGCAAUCAGAUCAAUGUGUAUUGAUCAAUCUGAUGACCUGGUGAAAGAAGCUGUCCUGAACCCUAUUGGUCCUGAACCUAAUCUAUGUAAAUAAGCUAU